rnacentral:misc_RNA from 1 species
UUCGAACGGUAUUUCAAAUUGCGUAACGUUAAUAACAAUCACACAAUUUGGAUUUUGUUGUCUGUUUUAUUUUUUCAAAAUCCUAGUGUUUAAGAAAGGUUUUUGCAUGUUAUUUUUAUAGAAUAUCAAGUGAAAUAGAAGCGUACGAACUCUGAAAAAGAAAAUAUGCAGUUUGUGUAUAAAGUUUGGAAACUCGUGGAAGAUCCCAAAUACGACGGAUUAAUAUAUUGGAGUUCUAUGGGGGAAAGUUUCAUAAUUCAAAAUGAAGAUGUGUUUGCAAGAAACCUUCUUCCCUUGUUUUUCAAACACAACAACAUGAGGAGUUUCAUCCGUCAGUUAAACAUGUAUGGAUUUAAGAAGAUCACAAGAAUGGAAAGUUAUAGUAAUAAUGCUAAUAAUUAUGAAGUCGAAUUUUAUCACCAGUUUUUCCAAAGAGGACAAAAGAAACUACUUGAAUUCAUAAGGAGAAAGAAUUCAUUUGGUAAAACUCAAGACAGAGGGCAGCUUACAGAUGACAUCAUACUAAAAGUCUUCAGUGAGAUAGAAAAUAUCAAAAACAAUCAAGAAAAUACUAAUUCUGUUCUUAUUAGUCUGAAAAGUCAAAAUGAAACAUUGCUCAAAGAAGUAGCCAUAUUACAACAAAAACACAUCAAACAACACCUGGUUUUUGAAAAGCUGAUGCAUUUUCUUGCAUCCUUGGUUCAGUCACAAAGUAACGUGAAACCGAAGAGGAAGAUGCCACUGGUGACUGAUAAUGAGACAAGCAUGCCAACUAGUAGCAAGGUGUCUUGCCUCUCUCAUCAGCUUCAAGGUGGUUUGGCCAUCUGUGCACAAACUUGUUGUGAAGAAGUUACACAAGACAUAAAUCCACACGGCUCAGAAUGUUUUGAAGCCAUAUGUAUUUUGGAGGAAGAUGAUGAAGGAAGAAAUUCUCCAGUUUCGUGUGAAAGCACCGGUGUAAUUAGUGAUGGUCUCAUACCUAAUAAUCAAGACCCUUCCUCCAUUGUGGGUAGAUUUUCAGAUACUUCACCUUUAUGUUUAACUUCUAUCAAGAAAGAACAAGAAAUUUUUCCAACUUUUACCAGAAGCCCCUCCCAUUCUUCAGUCCUUCAGGAUCUUGUUUCUUCUGAUCAAUUGAUGCCAGCCAUUAAUAAAUCUUCUUUCGCAUCGAAACCUGAAAUUGAUGAAGAAGAACAGACUACUUUGUCAACAUUGAAGGCAUUGCAGAUGAAUUGGAUUGGCUGCAACAACAUUUGUCUGAUAGAUCCUUUGAGUUUGAUCACAGUUUAUUAUUAAAGGUUUACAACCUUUCAUCAAAUUACUUGUCAGUAAUAAAUAGUACAACAAGAAAUGAAAAUAGUUAGUCCAUUGAGAAAAGAUAUGAAGUUAGUACUUGGUGGCAACUGCAGCCUCAGUCUGGGACAGUACAGAGUGGUAAUUUCAUCUAACUAAGAGAUGAAACAGGCCUUACAUGUUCCUCUAGUGAAGAGUCUGGAAUCUGAUUUCAUUUUGAAUUAGUCCUACUCAACUGCUGAAGAAAUGAACACUUGAAAAUUGACAGAGAAAUCUGGUACAGUCUGUAGACUUUUGCCAUUUACAAAGUGAGUGGGCUUGGGUGAACAUUCUGGUAAACAAAUCUGUGAAACAGUAGGCUCCAAAGAUUACCUCAGUUUCUUUUAACUGAACCUGAACCUCUGUAAAACAAACAAAGAAUCAACUAAUUUAGACAUUUAAAAUGAAAACUGUGGGGCUGUAACAAUUACUUGAAACAUUUUAUAGUGCUUCUUUUCAGUAAAAUCUAAGGAUUAUUAUUUUUAGAUCAUUAAGUUCAUGAAAUGUAUAAAAAUUACAAUCAAAACCAUUGAACACCAUAAUGGUUAGAGUUUUGGAGCAAUUGUAUGCAAAACAUUUUAAGGUGAAAUUGUAAAAAAAAACAACUUACCUAAAUCUUAAGCAUUAAGAUAGAAAAACAAUAAUAAAUUUAGUACUGAUAUAUUUAUAAUACAAUAAUACAGGGAUGGAGAACCUGAGGCAUGCAUGCCCAAAAUGGUAUGCAUGAUGAAUUUCGUUGUUAUGCCACUAAGAAACUUGGCAUAGACUGCAUAUAAUGAACAUAUGACAUUAGCAACAAAGUUAUUGUUGCCACUGGCUACUUAAUCAACAUGAUGGCAAAUUUAAUUCUUCCUCCACCCCAAGAGGGUAGUAUAUUAUUCAGUACCUUCCUACAAGGAGAUUCAUAUAUUGAAAUAGUACACUAUUUGUGUAAUCAUCUUUAGUGACACGUAAUGGUUAUGUAAAAUACUGUUUUGUAAAACUGCUGUUAUGUUUUACAUCAUAAAAGCCUUUAAAAUGAAGCUGAAAAUACGUAAAUGUGAUAUGGAAAAUUGUGAUUUGAAGUAUUGGAUCAUCAAGAAAUUAAUGUGGCAUUUGGGAACACUUUCAUUAACCACCCCCCAAAAAAACGUACAUCAAGUAUAAUAGUUAAAUGAACCACCUA